rnacentral:lncRNA from 1 species
UUAUUUUAACAACGUACCAUUACUGGGAUAUGUACAAGUAUGGAGAUAAGAAAAAUAGCGUUUGGAUGAAAAUUUGACUGUUUCUGGAAUAAGAAAAAUAGCGUUUGUAUAGAUAAUAUGGAAUAAGAAAAAUAAUAGAUAAUUAUAUAUAGAAAAUAUAGGUGUUGGUGGGAAUAGUUAUACCAGCUUAUUUCAGGUAUCCGAAAACUACUAUUUUCGGAUAAAAAAUUUGUGUCUGGGUAAAAAGGCGGGGAUAAGGGGUUAU